rnacentral:rRNA from 1 species
GACGAACGCUGGCGGCGUGCUUAACACAUGCAAGUCGAACGGUGAAGCGCUUUCCUUUUUGGUUGGUGUGGAUGAGUGGCGAACGGGUGAGUAACACGUGAGUAACCUGCCCCCUUCUUCUGGAUAACCGCAUGAAAGUGUGGCUAAUACGGGAUAUUCUGCGCCUGCUGCAUGGUGGGUGUGGGAAAGAUUGUGCCUUCGGGUGUUUUCGGUGGGGGAUGGGCUCGCGGCCUAUCAGCUUGUUGGUGGGGUGAUGGCCUACCAAGGCGGUGACGGUAGCCGGCCUGAGAGGGUGGACGGUCACACUGGGACUGAGACACGGCCCAGACUCCUACGGGAGGCAGCAGUGGGGAAUAUUGCACAAUGGGCGCAAGCCUGAUGCAGCGACGCCGCGUGAGGGAUGGAGGCCUUCGGGGUGUGAACCUCUUUCGCCAGUGAAGCAGGCCUGCUCCUUGUGGGUGGGUUGACGGUAGCUGGAUAAGAAGCGCCGGCUAACUACGUG